rnacentral:piRNA from 1 species
UAGAUAAUGAGAUCACUAGAAAACGUCGC